rnacentral:rRNA from 1 species
AUUGAACGCUGGCGGCAGGCCUAACACAUGCAAGUCGAGCGGAUGAAGGGAGCUUGCUCCUGGAUUCAGCGGCGGACGGGUGAGUAAUGCCUAGGAAUCUGCCUGGUAGUGGGGGAUAACGUCCGGAAACGGGCGCUAAUACCGCAUACGUCCUGAGGGAGAAAGUGGGGGAUCUUCGGACCUCACGCUAUCAGAUGAGCCUAGGUCGGAUUAGCUAGUUGGUGGGGUAAAGGCCUACCAAGGCGACGAUCCGUAACUGGUCUGAGAGGAUGAUCAGUCACACUGGAACUGAGACACGGUCCAGACUCCUACGGGAGGCAGCAGUGGGGAAUAUUGGACAAUGGGCGAAAGCCUGAUCCAGCCAUGCCGCGUGUGUGAAGAAGGUCUUCGGAGUGUAAAGCACGUUAAGUUGGGAGGAAGGGCAGUAAGUUAAUACCUUGCUGGUUUGACGUUACCAACAGAAUAAGCACCGGCUAACUUCGUG